rnacentral:pre_miRNA from 1 species
GAUGUGUGAAUGAUGCGGGAGCUGAUUUUGUCCAGGAAAUGUCUUUUCCUUGGAUUGAAGGGAGCUCCCUUAUGUAGCAUACAUU